UCUAGGUUUACUGCUGCUGCAGAUUGCGUGUUUCUAAUUCUGAAGAACAAAUCAUCCAAUUAACCUAAGAAAGUACGUGGAGGUUCCUGCUUAAAAAAAAAAAACUCAGAUGGAAUGGUGGCUUUCACACCGACUACCAAUUUCACGGAGAUCACCUUCACGCUGUACAUCCAUCGUGCAAGCACGUAAAUCACACAUGCUGGGCAAUAGAAUAGCGCAGACAGUGGCAUGCUAGACAAAUCGAGAAAGCGCGUACAAUGAUCGUGUUGGGAUUGGUGAAAAACAAAACAAAACUGUUACGUCAUUUCGUCUAUAGUUUACGGGAGGCAAAUCGUUGGCGCCUACGACAUCCUCCCGCAACCCCCAAAAAGGAGAGGCGUCUGUGUCGUCUGUUUCAAUUUAAUUUGUCAGAGAACAAGAUUUUCCAUCAAACUGAGGUAUCAAAUCCUUCACUAAAGAGAGACGAAGAUAUGACGCUGGAAGCAUACUAGAUGACUCUAUAGAGGUUGGAGUAUUUUUAGAAACAGCAGCAGCAAACGUAGUCGAGGACAAAGAUCGGUAGAAGAUGCCCCGGAAGAUGAAGAAAGUUCUGCAUUUGAUGAAUCUAUGUUUAAUUCCUCUACCAAAAAUGUAUUUUCCCGCAGGCCGAUUUUGCGACUCCUUUUGGCGCGCAUGUACUUUAACUUAUACGGCGGCAUUUUGUCAAAUUAUUUCUAACGGUAAUUAUAAAAAUAAUACUCUAUAGUCCAAUUACUUAUAAGAUAGACUUACAGUUUGGUAA